rnacentral:lncRNA from 1 species
UUUGAAUUCAUUGAUCUCAUGGUUAAUUAAUGUUCCCUUUGAAUGAAACAACUAGAAUAAAAGGUACACCACUACUAUUUUACAGUAAAUUGGAAGGACUACGAUUGUUCCCAUCAACAAUCAAAACUGUUUGGUGCAAAAUCUAGAGUGGAUCACCAUCAGGGACAGAUGGAGAUCUCUGCAAAUUAAUUAAAUUAAAAGCAGGCAUUCUGUUGAGGAGGGCACGUCAGCCUCUCUCUCUCUCUCUCCCGUGACAUGGUUCGGUUGUGAAUGCGAGAUGCACCAAUUAAUGCAAAGCAGGCUCCUCGCGACCAAUCAGUAUCAAGCUGCCCGGAGACGUAUUGCAGCAUCUGUGCUGAACGUGUAGUACAUAUAUACCACAAAAAAAAAGAUCCAUCUUGCCACAAUUUUUCAGUACCAUAUAUAAAAUCCCAAAACACGUACAAAUUUUUCAGUACCACAUAUUAAACCCCAAACAUAGUUUAUAUAAAUAAGUUUGUUCUUUUUUUUCUAUGUAAAUUAAAGGAAUUAUACUGUUCUUGUCAUUCAUGCGAGGCUCGAUAUGUAACCUUCAGUUUUCGCUAAGCAGACAUCAGAAUACUCCAAAAUUUUACUUUUUCAUUCAAAACAAAAUAUGCCUGCUUGUACUUCGAAUAAUGGUGCGACAAUCAUGAUUUUUUUUUUCCCAUACUCAUGCAUGUAACACUUAUUAGGAGUAGUGCUCGUUAACAUGACAGAUCGAUAGCAGCAAAUUGUGUCAAUCGCGCUGCUAUCAAGUAGAAAACUAUGGUUUUCAUAUGCUCCACAUUCAAAUAACAACAUUGCUAAACCUGGAUGCUGUUUUGUUUCGCUUUUGGAAUGCAAAAGCAGGGGAAACCUCCUUUUCUAAAAAAACAACAUUGCUUUUUUUUUGAGGAACAACAACAUUGCAUAAUUAGGACACAAGGAUGUCUGAACAACCACAAAUAGACAUGCACACGUGUACUUUUAUUUAUUAGACUCACAAAAGCCUAUGGAUACCCUCAUGACAACAAUUAGUACUAGCUAUCACUAUCAGUUGCGAUUUUCACCAUGAUUUUAGAAAAUGAAAUAAAUUUGGUUCACAACAUUGUUUUUGAUAGAGUUAUUUUAGCUAAUUAAUCUCUCCCUCCUAAUAUAUAAGGUGUAAAACUUUUCAUUCAUGUUCCAUAUAAUAUAAGUUGUGUUCUCUCUCAUAUAUCAAUGUAACAGUACUAAUGCGCUGAAAGAGAUAAUUAAAUACGCGCUCUUGGUCUUUGAACCAGAAAUAGUUAUGCCUAGUAUAUACUAAGACAGAUGGAGUAGCUAACAAACACAAGAGGUGCCAUAGAUAAACCAGAACAAGAAGAAUCCACAGAAAAGUUCUUUUUUUUCCAAAAAUAAAACACAAGAGGCACCAAGGAAUGGCAAAAUGUUUUGAUUGGACAGGAACUGAAUGGGUACAGAAGAUUUCUGCUGCAACUCACGUGCGUGGUCACUGAAUGAAUGGUGUAGGAUCCGUCGGCAUUGAUGGUGUCAAUGCCAAGUCGUUGGUGCGCAACCAUUAAUUUGGACGGCAGGGG